rnacentral:rRNA from 1 species
CCUACGGGAGGCAGCAGUGGGGAAUAUUGCACAAUGGGGGAAACCCUGAUGCAGCAACGCCGCGUGAAGGAAGAAGUAUUUCGGUAUGUAAACUUCUAUCAGCAGGGAAGAAAAUGACGGUACCUGCCUAAGAAGCCCCGGCUAACUACGUGCCAGCAGCCGCGGUAAUACGUAGGGGGCGAGCGUUAUCCGGAUUUACUGGGGGUAAAGGGAGCGUAGGCGGUUCUGCAAGUCAGAAGUGAAAGCCCGUGGCUCAACCGCGGGACUGCUUUGGAAACUGUUGAACUGGAGUGCUGGAGAGGCAAGCGGAAUUCCUAGUGUAGCGGUGAAAUGCGUAGAUAUUAGGAGGAACACCAGUGGCGAAGGCGGCUUGCUGGACAGUAAAUGACGCUGAGGCUCGAAAGCGUGGGGAGCAAACAGGAUUAGAUACCCUUGUAGUC